rnacentral:ncRNA from 1 species
GCGCAGCCCUAAAUAUCUUUGGGGCCAGAAUCAGUAAUGGUUCUUGAGAAAAAUUGGGUGAAUUCGGGGGAACCCCAGUCAUGCUGGACAAUCCCGAGCCAAGCCAGAAAGGGCAAUGGUUUUCUGGAAGGUGUAGAGACUAGCAAGUGAGUCCCAACAAUAAUCUUGCAAACAGCGCCCAACUCCUUUAGUAAGGAUGAUGAUAUAGUCCACAUAGCUUCGGAAGAGGCUG